AAUAUGCAAUUUGCAGUGGUUAGAAAUGACAAAGGAUGGGUGGUGGGAUCCAGAGAAAAAAACAGUGAAACCCGAUGGACCUUAAAUAGAUCUGAGGGCACUGAUUUGAUUAUUUUGGGUGAAAUCUUUUAAGAAAAUCUUGUCAGAUUCUUCACAGAAAAUUUGGUAAAGCCUAUAUUUCAUUGCCGGCCUAGCAAAGGCAAGCUGGCAAACAGGGAAACAAGGAGAACUGUGUGCUCAGCCCUCCAGAGAGGCACGGAUUAUGAGGAGGUGAUGGUCCUUCCUUGCCAAGAUCCUGAGACACUGUCACUCCGGAAUCCAAAAAGAGAUUCAGAUACCAUGAAAGGAUUUGAGGUUUUUUUAAUGUGAAUCCAAAGAUGACAUUUACAAAAGGUGGAGAAGCAGUUCCCUACUGAGGGACAUGGAUACAAAAAGCAGAUGACACAACGCAUCCCAUAGAGUUCCCAAGGAAGAAUGAACCCAGAUUCUUGACCUGCAGAGGUUGUGUACUGGCUGGAGAAAUCUCUGGCUGGUGACCAUGCUAGUCUGUCUGUCCACCUAACUGUGGGCUCCCAGAUCACCACUGCCAUGGGCGGGGGGCCGUGGGGUGGGCCUGCUCGGGGUGACAGGCUAGCUGUGCUCCCAUAGCAGAGGUGGGAGAAGGGAAUCACAUCUGGUGAGCAGCUAUGUCGUGCCAGGCACUGUGCUGUGUAUUGCACACAUCUCAAACCUUGUGACAAAUGUGUAAGAUAUUUUUUAUAUAUUACAA
rnacentral:antisense_RNA from 1 species